UUGGUGUAAUGGUCAACAUUGCAGAUUGUCGAUCUGCAGUUACGGGUUCGAUUCCCGGA
rnacentral:tRNA from 1 species